CUUUUUGGAGAGUUUGAUCCUGGCUCAGGACGAACGCUGGCGGCGUGCCUAAUACAUGCAAGUCGAGCGGACCUCUUCGGAGGUCAGCGGCGGACGGGUGAGUAACACGUGGGCAACCUGCCUGUAAGACUGGGAUAACUCCG
rnacentral:rRNA from 1 species